CAGGCUUGCUUUGGGAACUAACCCAGGUCAGCAUGAGUUCUGUCCUCUGCUUGAAAGAGGUUCAAUCCCAGACAGCAAAUGUAUAUGAACCCUUGAAACUACAGCUCUGGAUUUAAUUUAAUUUUCAUUUCGUUAUGGUAUUUUUUUCCUUACUUUUAUGAAGUCUAUUUUCCCUAGAAUGGCUGAUUCGAAACAUCUGCUAAUCAUCUGCCUGCCCUGGCUAUGCGGUACCUUCAGAGGGGGAAGGGUAAUGCUGGCCACACCCGCCUUAGGUCCAGACAGCUUAUUCUGUCUGGCCUGCUGCUGGGAAGCCUCUAUUUUUCCUUGUUGUUCCUAAUAAGUCCCCACAAAACCUUCCCAAACUUUUCCUAACUGCUUCCUCUCCUCUUCACCACACCCCGACAACACGAAUGCACCGCAUCUUCCUGUCUGCUCUCCUUAGAGCACCUCCAGACCUGAGUUCAAGUGAAAGCCUGCUUUGACCCCACCAUGGAUGUGCUCCACGAGCCUGGAACUCACUAUGCUGCCCAAAGUGAUCUCAAACUGACAGCAAUCCCCCUACCUCACCGUUUCAAUGCUGAGCACGACCCAUUCAACAAGAGGGAAAUCAGGUCUGAUACAGAAGAUCCAGCCAACUAUGAGGGGCAAGUAAAGUCAUGGAUCAUGGAGGAAAACCUACAACUACCAUUUUACUCAACACCAUAAUCCCCAACUACAGUCUAAAUAUUUGUCCUCAUACACACAAAUAAGAGUAGUCCUCAUCCCUCAUCAAAGAAAGAGACAACUACAAAACAACAACAGCAACAAAACCAACAACAACACAGCCAACAAAAAUGCAGACUUGGGAAACUCCAUCCCAGUUGAUAUACACUCCUGCACCUGAGACUCAGGGGACAUUGCAGAAGAUUGAACAGAAGGAUGAUAAGAGCCAGAGGACCAGGGAGUUUGCUGUGACAUUGUGUUUACUAGAAAUAUCAGAAGGUAUAACCAUAAAAUAUGACUAACAUGUCAAUCCAAACAUUACAACCAAACAAGAGACAACAAUUAACAUGUAAAGUGGUUGAAGAGAAGCCAUGGGACCUCAACUCUACACUAGAAACACAGGGAACCAAGGAGUAUUAAGAGAAAUAGUCUUCUCUAGGAAUGAGCACAUCAAAUGGUUAUGCAGUACCGAAUUCUCAGCCCUGAAAUAAAGUAAUAUUGCACAAACUGUAUAGGUAAUAUUUAGGAAUAUAUUUAUAUAUAUUUAUACAUAUGUACAUUCAUCACUUUGAAAGAGCAACGGGAAACAU